rnacentral:rRNA from 1 species
UGAGGAAUAUUGGUCAAUGGGCGAGAGCCUGAACCAGCCAAGUAGCGUGCAGGAUGACGGCCCUAUGGGUUGUAAACUGCUUUUAUGCGGGGAUAAAGUGCGCGACGUGUCGUGCAUUGCAGGUACCGCAUGAAUAAGGACCGGCUAAUUCCGUGCCAGCAGCCGCGGUAAUACGGAAGGUCCGGGCGUUAUCCGGAUUUAUUGGGUUUAAAGGGAGCGUAGGCCGCCAGAUAAGCGUGUUGUGAAAUGUACCGGCUCAACCGGUGAAUUGCAGCGCGAACUGUUUGGCUUGAGUGCACGGUAAGCAGGCGGAAUUCAUGGUGUAGCGGUGAAAUGCUUAGAUAUCAUGAAGAACACCGAUUGCGAAGGCAGCUUGCUGCAGUGCGACUGACGCUGAUGCUCGAAGGUGCGGGUAUCAAACAGG